AAUGGGCAACCGGCGAACGGGUGCGUAACACGUGAGCAACCUGCCGAUCUGUGUGGAAUAGCCGGCCCAACGGCCGGGUAAUACCGCAUACGCUCAGUCUGUAGCAUUACGGAUUGAGGAAACCUUUUUGGGCGGAUCGAGGGGCUCGCGGCCUAUCAGCUAGUUGGCGAGGUGAUGGCUCACCAAGGCGAUGACGGGCAGCUGGUCUGAGAGGAUGGCCAGCCACAUUGGGACUGAGAUACGGCCCAGACUCCUACGGGAGGCAGCAGUGGGGAAUAUUGCGCAAUGGCCUAACGGCUGACGCAGCGACGCCGCGUGUGGGAUGAAGCCCUUCGGGGUGUAAACCACUGUUGCCCGGGACGAACAGCGAGCUUCAGCUUGCCUGACGGUACCGGGUGAGGAAGCACCGGCUAACUCCGUGCCAGCAGCCGCGGUAAUACGGAGGGUGCGAGCGUUGUCCGGAAUCACUGGGCGUAAAGGGCGCGUAGGUGGUGCGAUAAGUGUGUGGUGAAAGCCCGGGGCUCAACCCCGGGUCUGCCAUGCACACUGGCUGACUGCAGGACUACUCAGGCACGUAUAAUUCCCGGUGUGUCGCUGGACUGCCUCUAGAACCAGAUGACCAUCAUCGCCUUAGUCAACCAGCACCUCACCUACUGACUCAGAGGCCCCAAGCCCCGC
rnacentral:rRNA from 1 species